GCCUUUGGCCCUACCAUUCUGCGAGUGCCUGAUCCCAUCUGAUCUUGGAAGCUAAGCAGGGCUGAGCCUGGUUGGUACUUGGAUGGGAGACCGCCUUUGAAUACCAGGGGCCGUUAGACU
rnacentral:rRNA from 12 species